rnacentral:lncRNA from 1 species
GUUUGCGUGGGGCGGCGUGGACGGGAAGUACCCCACAACCAUGAGACCUUCCAGAGACAAUAGCGUGGGGCCACCAGCCAAAAGAGGAAGAAAGUGAGGGGCCUCCUGGGGAAUAGAGGAGUCAGAGAGGGUAGGUUCCACGUCCGGGUGAUGUCACUCCAGCAUGAUGGGGAGUUUCUGGGUCAGAGAGCUCUGAAGGGCACAGUGACUUGGGGGCUUUCAUAGUCCCAGGGUUUGUUUAUCUAAGGCUAACAGAUGUUGGGUGCAAUUUCAUGGGAUAUGCAAAGCAGGUAGAGGCACUUGAACAGCGGAGCAUCUGGUCCCUGCCUGCCUCUGACUCAUCUGUUACCACAACCAAGAUGUUACCAGAGCUCCUGUGUUGCCUCCAUAUUCAAAGGCAUAAGAAUUCCGGGAUGCAAGGGGAUUGCUGCCUCCCAACGUAUGCAAAGUCGGUGAUAAACGUAUAGAAACUAAUUUCCAGUUUUUGCGCUCCUCCUGCAUCCAGCACUAAUUUCCAAGGUGCUUCCCAUCUGACGCUUAACAUCUGACUCGGUCAAACGCUUUCAUCACCACUUUCUGUAGAACGCUUCGAUUUUCUCAUUAAAAUAAUGCAUACUCAGCUCGCUGGGUGAAAACAUUACUAGGAACAUGUAAGGGAUUCUUUUGGGGGGUGGCAGUUAGAUUAAGUCAUUUCCAUUCAAAAUAAAGAAGGCGGGGAUACCUAACCAUUUCUUAAAGUGGCCAUUUGAAUGGUCUUUGGGGUCUGCUUUAGAGAUUGAAGGAUGUGUAUUGAAAAAAAAGCAGUAAUAUUAUAUAUGCAAUGUGUGUGUAUGCACACACACUUUUAAAAAAAUAAUAAAAUUAAAGAUUCUUUUACCUGGCAUGCCAGUUGCCAGUCACCUCUGGAGGUGCCAGGACUCCCUGCUGUCAAGGACCCUCUCCUCCUUUCCUGCGUGGCCAGGGCCCCUUCCCCCUACACUCACUUCCACCCCUCUAUGUGACUCCCUGCUUCCUCCCUACCUGGCCAUGGACCCCCGGAUACAAGGAUUUCCCUCCCCAUGUGGCCAGGCCGCCUGCCCAGCCCCCGGUUCUGGGCCUCGCCACUGUCCCCCUCAACAUCCCAGGUCCCA